CAGUAGCCGCGGGAAUACGUAGGGUGCAAGCGUUAAUCGGAAUUACUGGGCGUAAAGCGUGCGCAGGCGGUUAUAUAAGACAGAUGUGAAAUCCCCGGGCUCAACCUGGGAACUGCAUUUGUGACUGUAUAGCUAGAGUACGGCAGAGGGGGAUGGAAUUCCGCGUGUAGCAGUGAAAUGCGUAGAUAUGCGGAGGAACACCGAUGGCGAAGGCAAUCCCCUGGGCCUGUACUGACGCUCAUGCACGAAAGCGUGGGGAGCAAACAGGAUUAGAUACCCGCGUAGUCCCUGUCUCUUAUAC
rnacentral:rRNA from 1 species